rnacentral:rRNA from 1 species
AAUUUUGGACAAUGGGGGAAACCCUGAUCCAGCCAUCCCGCGUGUGCGAUGAAGGCCUUCGGGUUGUAAAGCACUUUUGUCAGGGAAGAACUCGUACAGGCUAAUAUCUUGUGCGCAUGACGGUACCUGAAGAAUAAGCACCUGCUAACUACGUGCCAGAAGCCGCGGUAACACGUAGGGUGCAAGCGUUAAUCGGAAUUACUGGGCGUAAAGGGUGCGCAGGCGGUUUAUCAAGAAAGGUGUGAAAUCCCCGGGCUUAACCUGGGAAUGGCACUUUUAACUGAUAGGCUAGAGUAUGUCAGAGGGGGGUAGAAUUACACGUGUAGCAGUGAAAUGCGUAGAGAUGUGGAGGAAUACCGAUGGCGAGGGCAGCCCCCUGGGAUAAUACUGACGCUCAUGCACGAAAGCGUGGGGAGCAAACA